CACUACAGAAGCUAAACAGGAUAGCACUAGCCUUUUAAGCUGGAAAAAGAGGCCAUUUUCCUUCCUCCUUAGUGA
rnacentral:tRNA from 1 species